rnacentral:rRNA from 1 species
UACGUAGGGGACAAGCGUUUGUCCGGAAUCAUUGGGCGUAAAGAGCGCGUAGGCGGUCCGGUAAGUCCGCUCUGAAAGUCCGGGGCUCAACCCCGGGAGGCGGGCGGAUACUGUCGGGCUAGAGUCCGGAAGAGGCGAGUGGAAUUCCUGGUGUAGCGGUGAAAUGCGCAGAUAUCAGGAGGAACACCAAUGGCGAAGGCAGCUCGCUGGGACGGUACUGACGCUGAGGCGCGAAAGCGUGGGGAGCAAACAGG